rnacentral:misc_RNA from 1 species
GUACGAAGCGCUGCCUGCUACUGCCGCUCGCUGUAUCAGUCCGUGGGCGUGUGUGUGUGUGUGUGUGUGUCUGGACUCGUUUUCCUCCGUGCUUAGGCUUUCGUUUCUCUCUCUCUCUGCUUGCGCCCUCCACUGCGUUGCCUCCCCCGCCCCCUCCCCUCUCACACGUCGCUGCAAGGGGAGCCUCUGCAGGUGCGCGGGUGCUGAGUAUUUUGCUUCUGCCUUCUUGUUGCUUCUAAAAGGCCCUCACCUUCUUUUUCUGAGUUUUUUUUGUGGGUGGGUGGGUGUUUGUGUGCUUCUCUCCAUCGCUGUUGCUGCUUCUACGGCAUCUAUUUCUACACAGCUGAAAGGCACGAAACAGGCGCGCACGCACACGCACAUCAUCAUCAUCAUUCACUUUACCCAUCGACCCUUGCUUUCCUUCCCCAUAUUGUUGCUCUGCCGCACACCUGCUGCUACUGCUGCUGUUUUGGUUGUCUUACCAUUUUCUCUGUUUAUUGCAGUUGUGGACUGCUAGUUCUUGUGUGUUAGCUGGCUGGUGCGUGUGCGCUCAUUAUCCUGCCCGUCGUCGCGCGCAUAUACAGGCUUGGUAACGAAGUGAGAGAGCCCUCAAUCGUCUCCAAAGGUGCCUGCAAGCACACAGACGGACACACACACGCACGCACACGCGUAAGCGAAGCGUCGAUCUCCGUGAAAACCAUGUCCGACUCCGACUGGGAAGUGCUCUCGUCCGAUGGCGAGGUGCAGGGCGUACCGCCGUUGCGUUCUGCAUUCACGUCGUCCAGUGGCACCGCGAGGAGUGUGGCCGCAGGAGCGGAAGAGGGGAAUGAAAAGAGUGCCGCUCGUGAUUCCAUGGGCACGGCAAACCGCCAUGCCAUUCUCACGCCGCUGUGUCUAACACUGAACCAAACUGGGACGCGCAUCGGCGUCGGACACACGCGCGGCUUUCUCGUGUUCCGCGUCGUUGGCGCGCCGGCCGCGGCUGAAGCACACGGCGGCGGCGGCACUCAAGCAGCGGCAGCGAUGUCAACGGUGUCGCCGUGGAUGGCACAGGAAGAGAAACGGUCGGCGACGCCGGUGCACGGUGUUGCUGCAAACGCGGCAGACGAGUUGCGCGCACUCCCUGCUCAGAGCCAGCUCCUCCUCGACCCGCAGUACAACGUCGAUCUUCUAACUUUUUCUCACAUCCGCGAGCGCAUGCGGCAGCAGCAGCAGCAGAGAGCUGCGAAGGCUGCUUGUUCCUCGCCAUCGCAGUCGACGGCAACGGAAGCACCCUCUCGCGCACCACCCAUGGUGACGCCGAACGGCACCGCCGACCGCUCGCACGCGCCUAGACACGCCACUGCUUCAGGAGCCACGGCGCCUUUGCUUCCUGACGAAGUACUCAGCGAGGAGGACAGUGACAGCUCCGAGUACGACCGGGGACUCCCCAUGGACCUCGAGAAUGACCUCGGCUCUUUCUUGACCACCGCCGGUCGUGCCUUUGCACACAUGAAGCGCGACCGCCAGAGCCUGAGCUCGCGCAAGGAUAAAUUGGCGACGGACAUCAAGUCGCUGCAUCCGCAGCAAGGCGAGGCAGCUACAAUCCACACUGCACCUUCCCCAGCAGCAGCAGCCUCGGGCACUGCAAUGGAGGCCGGCCACGUUACUGGCGGCGACGGUGCACCUGCGGAGGCGCCUGCCAUGAUGAGUGAGACGCACCCGUCGCAGUGCAUGCGUCUCACGCAGGAGCCAACUGCGGUGCUGGAGCGGAGCAAGGAUGAGGACAUCUACGUCGACCCCUCCAUCAGCAAUGUCGGCGACGCUGGUCGUGUUGUCGUGCAACGGAUGGACAGUUUUGCGUCCUCUUCCGCAGCCUCGUCGUCGUCUGCCGCUGCGGGCCGCCGGGCAUCCGACGGCGCAGGGGAGAGCGAGGACGACUACGUCGGGUUCGAGGGUGGCGGCGUGGCCGUGAUGGCGUUUCUCUACGAGCAGACGUGGAUGGCGUUGGUCGGCGGCGGCCCAACGCCGAUGGGAACGCCGCAAUGCGUGCAGUUUAUCCGCGACGGCGAGCUCCAGCACCACCUUCUGAUGCCAGACCCGGUGGUGCGCCUCUUCCUCGACGCGCGGCUGCUCUUUGUCCUCACCACGGCAGAGCUGCGGAUGUAUACCAAUCCGAUAGAACGGGAGUGGACAUGUCUGCGGCAGUCACUGCCCUUGUCUGCCGCUGUGGCAAGUCGCUAUGCCUUUGUAGCGGUCACCGCUGACUGGGCCAACGCCCCUGUGCGCGUGUGGGAAAAGCUGCCCGACCCCGGCACGUCGCCCAGCUCAGCAAGUGCGGCCACCGCACCCGACGCCGUCGAGGGGGGCCUCCGUGUGACCUCGUUCGCAUCCUUAGCCAGCAGGCCCGGCGGCCAGAUCGGAGACCGUGGCACGCGGACAGCUGCCGUCUCGCUGCCCGUCAUCCCGGUGGUGGUGGACUACGCACGAAGUCUAGUGCUGCUGCCGGCGGGAGAAGAGGGCAAGGGAUUUGCGCUGCACCGGUAUGUCUCUGGGCCAGAGGUGCGCUACACAGGCCCAGUCCGCAGCGCAGGCAUGAGCAGCUCGGCAAGCGCGCCUGACACAGAGUACGCAGCGGAGGGCCAAGCACAUCUCUUCACCGGCAGCACCGCCGUGACGACCGGCCGAACCACCUCUUUCCUGCAGCACAUCGCCACUCAAGGAACUGCGCAUCGUAACCCGCUCUGCAAUCUCGCCCUGUACGUUGGCUGGCCCUCGUCGAUUGCGCGGCUGCUGUCGCGAGACACAGAGGCUGGCGCAGGCGACCAGACAGGCGGCUCGAUGGGCAGCGGUCAGGUGGACGGAUCGAGCAGUGUGGGGCUCGUGACCCUUGUCGCCGCGUCGAGCGAGUACGCCACUCGCAUCACCCUUUGGAUGCUUCAGGGGCCGCAGCACGAGAUCGCGACGCCGUACAGCGACCAUCCUUCCUCCCCCUCCGCCGACUCCGCUGGAGCAGCGGCUUUUGUUCUCCUGCGUGAGUUUCGCGUUGGCGUACGCCUGGCAGCGCCUCAACUCGUCAUGGCGUCUCUCCCAGGGGUCUCGCGAUACAUUGCACGCGGUCAUGCAGCGCUGGCGGGAACGUCUGGCAGGGCCUCCAGUGGCGGUUCAGAGGCGGCGUCGUCUACCGGUGCAAUGCUUCUGGCUAACGCGUCCGCGGCUGGAGAUACGGCGAGGUCGCACGGCACCGCGACGCCGGCGUCGGCCAGCGGGCUGUUUAUCGCUGCUUCCUCACCUCCAUCCUCAGCCUCGCACACGGGCACAAUGACCUCCUGGGCCACGGAGGCAGCCACGGCUGUCGCAUCGUCUGCAACAGGACUGGCGGUCGUGCAUCAUCUGCAGUUUGUCGGCAACGGCGCCUACCUACUGUGCGUCCACGGCGCAGACAUCAUCAGCAUCUUCUCGACCAGCGCACGCGAGACAGAGCAGGAGGCAAAGAACGUGUGCCGCGACCGCGUGGCGGCCGAGCAGAACCGCUAUUCUCGCCUCUCCAUCGUGAAGGAGUACCUCCCCCAGGCGCUGUCGAGUCGGCUGGAAGCCUACACGCGUCAGGCAUGGUCCUCUUGCUCUGGUCGACUGCCUUCCGCCGACCCAACGUUCAUGCCGCGCUGGAUCUGUGCCCAGCGCCGAGAUAUGCCUGGCGCAGCGACCACCUCAACUGCGGCUGUUCCCACUGCCGCGCCUACAUCUGUGAGCGCUUCCCAUGGCGCUAGCAGCCUCGGGGCCGUCACCGCCACCAUCGACGGCAACAGCAGUCGCGGAAGGCGGCGCUUUUUCCAGCGCUUGACUUCGCUCGUGGGAUCUCGCCCGCCGACCGCAGUGUCAGCGACUCUGCCGUCUGAGAGCGCAAAGACCGCCGCGCUUCCUGGUACUGAUGAGGACGAACCCAGCGCAAGCGUUCCGUCUAGGGGCACUAACCCCGAAAGUCGUUCGCUCUUCUCGCGCGCCACUGCAUCACGGAAAUUGAAGAGCCCUGUGGCACCGUUCACCUUUCCAACCUCCUCAUUUGGCGGGCAGCGGCCACUCGCCGGGGGUGGUGUCUGGGGCACCCCCCUCACAGAGCUCCCGCAGUGCAUCCAGGUAUGGCCAUCAGCACCGCACGCUGGGGCUGGCGCGUCGCACCAGUACAUCGGCGCCGCAUCGACGGCGUCUUCGCCGAGGCGGCCGCCAAUCGUGUUGAACUGCGCGACGUGCGAGGGGGCCUUUGCGAACAUCGUGCUAUUUGCCGAAGAAGGGGAGCUUCUGACGUCGCAGGUGGUACCGUAUGCCACCUCGUGAUGUCCGGUCGGCCGGCUCACCUUUGGGGGAGGGGGAGGGAAUGGGUGCUUGCGUAUGCGUGCGUGUGUGGUGUGUGUCUGGGCCGAUGGUUUGUGUGUGUGUGUGUGUGUGUCUUUCCUUUAUUUCCUUUUCUGCUCCUUCUCUUCCUGUGUACUCAUGCCCGUCUGCGCUUUUAUGCUCACUCGUGUACCUCCAUCCACCCAUCCACCCGCUGCAGUCGUGCAACACAGGAAAAGAAUGCCUCGCGGAAGAGACAGGCGCGGAGAAGGGCGGCGAUGAAACGAGUGAUGGUGGCAGCGGGAGGUGCGCGGCAACAGCUUCUCCCGCCCCCGCCCUCCCGCCGUGCCUUCCCUCCACGUUGGAUGUACCGAUCGGGUGCUCUUUGCGGGUCAUUUCGCUUUGUCCUCCUCGCGG